UACGUAGGGUGCAAGCAUUGUCCGGAUUUAUUGGGCGUAAAGAGCUCGUAGGCGGUCUGUCGCGUCGGAUGUGAAACCUCGGGGCUCAACCCCGAGCCUGCAUCCGAUACGGACAGACUAGAGUAUUGCAGGGGAGACUGGAAUUCCUGGUGUAGCGGUGGAAUGCGCAGAUAUCAGGAGGAACACCGGUGGCGAAGGCGGGUCUCUGGGCAAUUACUGACGCUGAGGAGCGAAAGCGUGAGGAGCAAACAGG
rnacentral:rRNA from 1 species